GCAGCUGGGCUCUAGGCUCUGUGUUGCUGAGGUGACUGUGGCUUUCUGACUCCUUGCCCUAAGAACAAAACUACAGAGCUCACCAAGUGGUGCUGGCACUAAGGAGUCAAGAACCCUGGCUUGGAGUGUGAACAACCUGAAUAACUUCUUCACACAUCAUAUUUGAGGACUUCCAGCCUAACGAAGAGAGGAUAUCUACUUAAUACCCUUUCUCAAGUCUGUGUCAAGAGAUAUUGUUCCUUUCAAAGAUGGUGGCAGUGGAGAUGUACACCAAAGGCAACAGAAUAAUGUCACAGGGGAGUCUAAAUUUAAUGAGAAGGAUUAAGCAUGUAUAGCCAUAUUUUAACCUAUUGAUUAGAAAGAAGUACAGGAACUUGAAACAUGCUUGCUAAAAGAGAAAUAAAA